GAUCUGUGCACUCCUAAUUCUGGUCAACUAUUCAUCCUUUCAAUUACCUGAAAAAAAGAAAUUCCGUGUCUGCUUUCAAAUGGUGCUGAAGCUAUCCAUAGAAAAUCUAGUUAUCAGAAGACACCCAACCUUGACAAGGUCAGGGAUGACUAUGUUGACAUAAUCUUUCACUUUCUCAACUAUGAUAAUCACAAGAAGCUCUGGCAUUGUCUUUUAAAGAUGUGUCGAUGAAGACAUUGUCAUCAUUGUGAAUUACUUCAAGCAUCAAGGAAGUCCUUCCACGUAUUCUUUCUGGCAGAGAGCAGGUUCUUACCUCUGGAACUAAAAGCAGGUGCAAUGGAUUGAAUAAUUCAUAGAUAGACAGUCUCACUCAGCCUCACAUACACCGGCAGUUCUGCAGUGGGGGCGAUUUUGCCCUCCAGGAGACAUUUGGUGGCAUAUGAUCAAAAUUUUAUUGUCACACUGCGGAGUGUCCCUGGCAUCUAGGAGGUAGCAUCUGAGGAUGCUACUGACCAGCCUGCAGUGCACAGGAUGGUCCCUGCAACAGCUGAUGCAGCCCAGGAUGUCCGAGUGUUGAGGCUGAGAGCCCACGGUUAACCAUCAGUCAGAGGCUGGAGGUAUCUCGGCAGAACAUUCACACCAGACGUCUCCUUCACAGCCAUGCCCAAGCACGUCUACUGCUAUGACAGCAAAGUGACAGUGAAACCCGCCUCUGCCUUCCCAUCCUUUUCAGGUAUCAAGUCAGCAAAGUGAGCUUAGAAAUUAAGAACUGCAAAUAUUCUUACAGUUUAUUAAGCUUUUAUCCUUUUACUUGCGUAUGAGGAGAACUCAAAUAUUCAAAGUUAAUCAGCAACUUAGCAGUGAAGUCAGAACAGAAAUUCCUGUGUCUAGAACCCAAAUUCCUUGAGUAUGAAAUUUACAAUGAACUGGCAGAGAGGGAAGCCUGGCAAACCAGCCGUCUGGAGGGACCUGUUUGCCUGGGUGACAUUUGCAGGCCACACUGUCCUGGUUUCUGGAUUCAGAAGGUUUGGUGUCUGUCUACAGGGACACACAGCACUCUGGUGCUGGCGUGGAGCCUGAACGCGAGCGGAUUCAAGACACCAAGAGUUAGAGGCGACCCGUCAGUGUCUCUCCCAGUGCUGACCUGCUUUGCGGCUCGUCACAUGCAACACGAGGUGGCCAAUACAGGGAUGUGGCAGCAAAUGAGCAGCGAUUUGCAGAGGGCAACACUUAGGGUGGUUUUAGCCGAUUGUAACGUGGAGAGCUAUUUAAUAAUUACUAUUAGAUUAUAGCCAUUUCCCUGUAGCAAAAAUCAAAAAUGUCGAGGACAUGCACUUCUGGACAAGUAGAGUCACAGGCCCUGGGUUUACUCUCUUGCCUGAAACAAUGAAUAUGUAAAACCAGAAAAAGUCUCUAAAACCAUGUUUUUCAAGACGCCGGAUAUUCAGCAACGAAGCACAGCGAUGCUGAAGGGACAGGAAAGGAAGAACGGCGCUGAUUUCCUUCCCUGGCGACCUCAGGGGGUCUUCUGGCCAUGGCACAGGGAGUGGGAACCCAGGAAGGUGCUGCAGUCCCGGCAAGGCAGG